UACGUAGGGGGCAAGCGUUGUCCGGAUUUAUUGGGCGUAAAGAGCGUGUAGGCGGCCAGGUAGGUCUGUUGUGAAAACUCCGGGCUUAACUCGGAAACUGCCGUUGAUACUAUCAGUCUUGAAUAUUGUGGAGGUAAGCGGAAUAUGUCAUGUAGCGGUGAAAUGCUUAGAUAUGACAUAGAACACCGAUAGCGAAGGCAGCUUACUGGGCUGUAACUGACGCUGAUGCACGAAAGUGUGGGGAUCAAACAGG
rnacentral:rRNA from 1 species